CAGUGUUGACACAAUAAGUCUCUCACAAGCUCCUACUUCAGAGGAUUAUCACUGAAGAGCUCUGCACUGAAAACACCUACUAAAGUUUCUGCAAAGGUUAAAGCUCACCAACGUUGCGAUGGGACUUCUCCCACAGUAUUUCACUCGGCCCCACUCAGGUUUUGGACCGAUACCUUCAGGAGCCCAGUUGGGCAAGUAGAGCUGAGCUGUGCCCCAGGCUGAACCGCUGGAGGCUGGGUGCUCCAGACACACCUCCCUGAAUAUGUGACACAUGUAUUUAAAAGUAGUUAUAGUUAAGAGAUUGCGACUUGCCCUUACUAAAUAAAGAAUCUGAC
rnacentral:lncRNA from 1 species